AUGAAAAGUUGAGUAGUACACUUAUUCUGUAGAGAGGUUAAGUUUCAGAACUGGAUGGAACUAUUUUGCUGUUUCCAAUGAACUCGAAGCAGGUCUGGAUGUGAUGAUGAUGUUCUAUAUGACUUUUUCUCGCCAUGUCAAGAUGGAUUGAAUGGUCAUCCCCACGUAUGACCCCCUAUACUGCAGCCCUCAAUGUUACCUCAUUGGGACUGCAGAAUUUCACCAAUUCCAACUUGGGAUGGAGUUGGAGGGCAUGCGGCGUUUGCUUGCUGAAGAGGAUGGCCCGGUCUUUUUUAUUGGGCGUAUUGUCUUAGUGUGUAUUGGUCCUUUUUAGCUACAGGCUAUGUGGUUUCUCAUUUUCGUUUAGAAUGGUAACUCGACUGAUAACGAGAGACACAAAGAGCCGUUAGAACUCAAUGUUUUUGGGCUGGCAGAAAUGUGUCUGUUUUCUAAUUUGAGAACAGACGGUUUUUCUCAUUCAUUUUUCUGUAGUUUUGAGUCAUACAGCUGUCAUCUUACUAUUGGCUACGAAAAUGUGUCUGUUCACGAAUUUGAAAACAGAUAGCUGUUCAAUAGUCAGU